GAUUCCGUGGUCAAGCCGGUUAAGGUGUGAGAGGGUUAGUCUCAAGAUUGAGAGUUCGAUCCUCGCUGGGGUUG